CACACAGCAACAACAUGUAAUGGAAUACUGGUGGGAAGGUGCAGCCUCUACUGCCAUACCACCGACAUCUGCCUCUGAUGUCAUAGGCCAACAUCAUAAAAUUGGAGGCAUCACUCUCAGAGCAGCCCUUAACCAGUUUAUAUUCACUGUUGUGCUUACGGUCUUCAUUCUGCAAGAACAGCACAAACCAAAGGCUCAUCUGAGUCUGUGACCGAUAGAGGAUAUCUGCGAAAGACCAGAAUAACAGGGCAAUCAUCACAGACACAGGCACAAGUGAAACAAUAGACCGUUACGGUUUCCUUCUGACGCACUUGCGUGGAUGUGAUCCAGUUGGCUAUUCACGCUACUUUAAAGACAGUGUAUAUUUACCCACUCAGCUCUGCUCCAAGGAGCCAAAACAGCUGAUGUCCAUAAGUCAAGACCUUCAUGACAUUUAAUCAGUGCCUAAAAUUAAAAGCCCAAGUUGGGCUCAUGCUCUAAAUCUAUUCAAUGUACAAAAGAGAGACCUUUCAUAUUCUCUCAGAGCGCCAGAGGAUGAAGAUCCCUCUCUUGGUUUGGGCCUGUCUUUAAUACUUACACCUCUGAAGUACAAAUGGAGCAGGCUAUAACCACACUUGUGGUUUUCAAGCUUCUGUAAUCCGGAGGUACCUAAGACUUUCCAGCGAAGGAAUGGAUCUCUAUAUAGAAAAUAUACACCCAGCAUAUGGCACGUUGCAACCUGCAGAAAGAAGGUUGAAAACCAUCAUGCUUCAUUCAGAGAAUAACGGAAACUCUCUCUGCACCAAAGCACGCUUUUGGGAUGAGCACAUUCAAAUGCUGUGGUCAGGGUUAUUGCUAUUCCCAAGAAUGGUCUUUUUGCCAAUCAACAUCAUUGACCCAGAACUCAGAAAGCAGGACCUUACUCUGGUUUUCAUUCCAAGCAUGAUCAAACCAUCCUAGCUUACGGCCCCAGGGAGCUCAUUUGGUGCCAAACUUCACCCUGCUAUUAACCUCCACAUAGAGCAGGCGUAUGAUUUCUGCUUUUGCUCCUAUCUCUUGUAGCUUCCACCAGCAGCUCUAACACCCUUUUCUUCAUGAAAAGCAGUCCCCUAAAUCAAGGCUACCCAUAAGAGGUGAGGCUUUCAGCUGAGAGGGCCUCGGAUCCUGCCUGCACUGGCCAGCAGGCCCUCACAUUGCACACACCUGCAGUUUGUUAGUCUUGAGCACAGUUUCCAAACAAGAAUCAAAAGCUGUUUCUGUCAGGCCAAGUGCAGGAUAUGAGAGCAAACAUGAAUCUCAGUCCGCCCAAAACUUAACAAGCAAUUUUAAAUUUAUUGAAUAUCAAAAGGACAGAGGAAGAAGUUGCUAAGUGUUUUUUCUACCCAAAGACAUGGUUCACAGACAUUUUGAUAGCGAAACUCUCCUUUUUCCUUUUCAAUCAACUAAAUGUAAGUCUCUUGCUCAUCAGUGAACUAUGCUGUGGAAGGCUGUUUUGCAUUUGGUAAUGAAUUGCAUACCAUCUUUAGAUAGAGAUCUUUUGGACUCUCGUUUUUGGCAUCUCCGAGGAAAUAUGCUCUCCACCUGCUGCUCUGUCCCAUGCAAGCACCAUCCCACGGUGUGUUUCACUGUCACAGGCAGACCCUGCCACCUAGUGCAUCCAGAUGUGUACUGGCCUCACUAGACACCCGAAACAGCUGCCUGGGCACCUUCUUCCUAUCUGAGACAACCUGAUUUCCCCAUAAAGCCCUUUCCUACUGUCACUGAAGCAGCAGCUUUCCUAAGAGAUGCAACUGUGCAAAUAUUCUCCCAGAACCUGCAUC
ensembl:lncRNA